UCUGGGUCUUCAGGGCUCCGAGGAUCUGG
rnacentral:piRNA from 1 species